CCUACGGGAGGCAGCAGUGGGGAAUAUUGCACAAUGGGCGGAAGCCUGAUGCAGCGACGCCGCGUGAGGGAUGACGGCCUUCGGGUUGUAAACCUCUUUCAGUAGGGAAGAAGCGUAAGUGACGGUACCUGCAGAAGAAGCGCCGGCUAACUACGUGCCAGCAGCCGCGGUAAUACGUAGGGCGCAAGCGUUAUCCGGAAUUAUUGGGCGUAAAGAGCUCGUAGGCGGUUUGUCGCGUCUGCCGUGAAAGUCCGGGGCUCAACUCCGGAUCUGCGGUGGGUACGGGCAGACUAGAGUGAUGUAGGGGAGACUGGAAUUCCUGGUGUAGCGGUGAAAUGCGCAGAUAUCAGGAGGAACACCGAUGGCGAAGGCAGGUCUCUGGGCAUUAACUGACGCUGAGGAGCGAAAGCAUGGGGAGCGAACAGGAUUAGAUACCCUGGUAGUCCAUGCCGUAAACGUUGGGCACUAGGUGUGGGGGACAUUCCACGUUUUCCGCGCCGUAGCUAACGCAUUAAGUGCCCCGCCUGGGGAGGACGGCCGCGAGACGUAAACUUAAAUAGAUGAGCGNGAGAGNGCGAGACGACGACGAGGGAGAGG
rnacentral:rRNA from 1 species